rnacentral:rRNA from 1 species
UACAGAGGUCUCAAGCGUUGUUCGGAUUCAUUGGGCGUAAAGGGCGCGUAGGCGGCGGGGUAAGUCGGGUGUGAAAUCUCAGAGCUCAACUCUGAAAUGGCACUUGAUACUGCUCUGCUAGAGGACUGGAGAGGAGAUUGGAAUUCACGGUGUAGCAGUGAAAUGCGUAGAUAUCGUGAGGAAGACCGGUGGCGAAGGCGGAUCUCUGGACAGUUCCUGACGCUGAGACGCGAAAGCGUGGGGAGCGAACAGG